GACGGAGGGGGCUAGCGUUGUUCGGAAUUACUGGGCGUAAAGGGCUCGUAGGCGGCCAACUAAGUCAGACGUGAAAUCCCCAGGCUCAACCUGGGAACUGCGUCUGAUACUGGAUGGCUUGAAUCCGGGAGAGGGAUGCAGAAUUCCAGGUGUAGCGGUGAAAUGCGUAGAUAUCUGGAGGAAUACCGGUGGCGAAGGCGGCAUCCUGGACCGGCAUUGACGCUGAGGAGCGAAAGCCAGGGGAGCAAACGGG
rnacentral:rRNA from 1 species